AUUAAGAUUCUAUAAACUCAGACAGAUAGGGAUACUAUCAUCCAAGAGAAGAAAACAGAAAGGAGAGCAUCUUUUUAAAAUUAAAUCAUUUUUCUUUGAUUAUGAAAAAUAAGUGACAACAAGCCAAAAUUAGAUAACAGACUUACAGUAUUAUACCAUUAGGAAGACAAACUUGCUCAAAGAUGGGCAUUCACCCUGAGAACCUAUGUUUUACAACUAUGGAGAAAUGUGUUCUUUUUCCUAUAUUAGAUUUCUAAAAUGAAGAGGCUGAGAUUUUACUAUUGAAGAGAAUCAUGCUUAUAUACAAUUCUAGAAGGUACUCACAAUUAGGCCUCUCAUAACAAUGGCCUGUCUUUUUGCAUAUCCAUUGUUCACAAAACUCCCAAAUAGUUUCUUCCUUUUUUUUUUUUUUUUAAAGAGGCUGGAAUUCUCCUUUGUUGCCCAGACUGGAUUCUGAGCUCAAGCGAUCCUCCCACCUCAGGCUCCCAAGUAGCUAGGAUUACAAAAUAGUUUCUUGAAAAACAACUGUCUACGCUAAAAAGCCACUUUUCAGUGCUAUAUACUACUAAAAUGUUUUAAAUGUUCUACUUUUAAAUAUAGGUUACAAACCUAGUAGCAUAAAAAUUUUAAUCCUGAAAACCUGAAUUGCUUUCAGACAACAUCAGGUGCAUUCAGGGUGGUAUGGCUGUAGGCCUGAACUGCUUUCAGAAAUAACCAAACAUACAUAAAUUCAUUUCAAAACAAAAUUUUUUUGAGACAGGGUCUCGCUCUGUCCCCUUAACUGGCUGAAGUGCGGUGGUGGGAACAUAGCUCACUGCAACCUUGAACUCCUGGGGUCAGGCGAUCUACUUGCCUCAGCUUCCCAAGUGGCUAAGACUAUACAGGUGUGUGCCACCACACCUGGCUAAUUUUUUUUUAAAUGUACUUUGUAGAGACAGGGUCUCAUGAUGUUGCCCAGGCUGGUCUCAAACCCCUGGCUUCAAGUGAUCCUCUUGCCUUGGCCUUCCAAAGCACUGGGAUUAUAGGCAUGAGCCACUGAAGCUGACCUCAUUUCAAAAUUUUAGAAGUCCUAUUUAAAAGAGACAUGAAGGCCAGGCGCGGCGGCUCACGCCUGUAAUUCCAGCACUUUGGGAGGCUGAGGUGGGCAGAUCACCUGAGGUCAGGAGUUCCAGACCAGCCUGGCCAAUGUGGUGAAACCCCAUCUCUACUAAAAAUACGAAAAUUAGCCAGGCGUGGUGGCAGGCACCUGUAAUCCCAGCUACUCAGGAGGCUGAGGCAGGAGAAUCACUUGAAUCUGGGAGGUGUAGGUUGCAGUGAGCUGAGAUCGUGCCACUGCACUCCAGCCUAGGCAACAAGAGCGAAACUCUGUCUCAAAAAAAAAAAAUAAUAAUAAAAUAAACGAAUGAAUGAAUGAGACAUGAGGCACAGGUGCAAUGAGCAUAGACAUGGCAUAAAACUUAAUAGGAUUUUCUAAAAAAAAAAAAAAAAAAAAAAAAAAAAAAGCUUCAAUUACCAAGGCAAUGUCUGUGCAAAUAUCACUCAAGAAAAGAUCUCUGUGUUCUUUUCAAGAAAAAAAAAAAACAAAAACCCAAAAAAUCCAAAAAGACCAAAGAAAAAAAUUACAGAAGGGAAAACUGGACCUGUUUCUAAAGUAAAAUAUUAAAACUGCAAUUUGAAAUUCUCAAGAAAGUGCUAUAUGAAAUUUAUGAUCAUUCUCAUCAUUUUCAGAAAUUACUUUUUUCCAUUUUCUUAAGAAUUUUGGAAGAAUCAAUACGUGAGGGAAGACAGUUCUGGAAACAUUUCAAAAACAGAUCAACGGAAAGUAAUGUAAGUAUAUAAAGAAAGACACAAUUUUUUAACUUAAUUUUUGUUUUUUAGAGACAAGGUCUUGCUCUGUUGCUCAGGUUAGGGUAUCCAUAGCUCACUGUAGCCUUGAAUUUCUGGGCUCAAGCAAUCCUCCUACAUCAGCCUCCUGAGUUGCUGGGACUAUAGCUCACAUCCCACCAUGCCUGGUGAUUUUAGGAAGAUGAUACAGUGUACAUACAGCUUGUAGCAAUUAAGGUUCUAGCAGGAAACAGGUGGCAAAUUCAAACUGAGAUAUUAGAGAUUAUGUAUAAAGGAGAAGGCAGGUUUUAAGGAAACUCUUAAGAAACAGUGUGAUACUACACCUGAAGUAGUGAGUGCAGGAAGCAGUUAGCAGAAAGCAGACACAGAGUAGGUUGUGUGGAGAGGGUCACCCAACAAAAACCAUACUGCAUGGAUGGAUGUAGCCAGCCCACUGGGACCCUGCAGAAACGGAGCCAAAAAUAUAUACCUCCUAACCUUACUCUCUUUCUUCUCCCUAAUCUUCCGCUUGUAUUCCCUAUGGGCCAGCUGAAAGCCAGAAAGGAGGGGAGCCCAAUGAUACCCUCUACACAGGUCAGCCUCUUAGGGUACACAGCAGGGUAAAGAACAGAGUGGAUUUGAAGAGGCAAAGGCAAGAUGUCCAGCAUGUAGUUAUGUUAGUCAGCACGAACUAAUUUCUGUCACAAAUAAUCCCAAAAUAUCACUGGCUAAGACAACAAAAGUUAAUUUCUCUUAAAUCAUGCUUUCUAAUGGUUUUACCAUCUUCUGGCGUCUUGGAGACCCCCUCCACUGAACCGUCUGUUUCUAGUAGGCGUUGAUAGAAGAAAGCAAGAAUGGAAGAUUGGUGAGAAGUUAGACAUCAGGCUUAAAAAUCAUAUACAGUUGACCCUUAAACAACAUGGCUUUGAACCAUGCUGAUCCACUUAUACAGAGGUUUACUUCCACCUCUGCCAGCCCGGGGACAGUAAGACCAAUCCCUCUUCUUUCUCCUCCACCUACUCAACAUGAAGAUAAAGAGGAUGAAGACCUUCGUGAUAAUCCACUUCCACUCAGAGAACAGUAAAUAUAUUUUCUCUUCCUCAUGAUUUUCUGGGUAACAAUUUCUUUUCUGGAGCUUAUUUCACUCUAAGAAUAUAGCAUAUACAACAUUUAACUUACAAAACAUGUUAAUCUGUUUAUGUUAUCAAAAGGCUUCCGAUCAACAGUCUAUUAGUAGUUUAGUUUUUGGGGAGGCAAAAGUUAUACGUAGAUUUUCCAUUGCGUGGAGAUUCAGUGCCCCUAACCCCAGUGUUGUUCAAGGGUCGAUUGUACAUCAUUGGAACUGACAUUUUACUGGCCAGAACUCAGUCAGAUGGUACCACCUAACUAUCAGAAUGCUAAGAGUGGUAUGGUGCUGUGCCCAGAAGGAAGAAGAGAAACAUGAAUAUGCUAAGUACUAUUCUUAUCAUGUAUUAUGUAACACUCCAGUAGAAAAUGGAACAGCACCCCAAAAUCAAUCUCAUCAAUAUUUCUGCAGCGCAACAUUAAUAUCCACAUUAAGUGAAACAAAGAUAGCUAAAAACCUCCCAUCUAUGCAGAUAAGGCAUUUGCACCAAAUAAAUUUUGGUGUCAAACUUUUUUAUUUUUUGAUAAAACUUAAGGUUUUUGGAGGAUUUGGGGUUUCAGAUUACAGACAAGGGAUUAUGAAUGUGCAUUAUGAUCCACAUUGUACAAAUGAAGAAAUCUUCUCAAAACAGCAGCCAGGAAAGUAGAGAUGAAAGUUAAACUCAAGCCUGUGCCUUCCAAAUUUAUGCUAAUGUGAAGGGAAAACUGCAAAUAACCAAAUAACUCUUACUUUAGACAUCAUUAAUGAUACCAGCCCUCCGACAUGGAGAAACAGGAGGUAUUUCAAUGAAUUCCAAUACUUAUUGUGCCCCUUUUUUUUUUUUUUUUUUUUUGAGAUGGAGUCUUGCUCUGUCCCCCAGGCUGGAGUGCAGUGAUGCGAUCUCAGCUCACUGCAACCUCCACCUCCUGGAUUCAAGCGAUGCUCCUGCCUCAGCCUCCCAAGUAGCUGGGACUACAGGCGCAUACCACCAAGCCUGGCUAAUUUUUUGUAUUUUUAGUAGAGAUGGGGUUUCACCGUGUUAGCCAGGAUGGUCUCCAUCUCCUGACCUCGUGAUCUGCCCACCUCGGCCUCCCAAAGUGCUGGGAUUACAGGCAUGAGCCUGUGUCCUAUUCUUUAUAACUGGCCCUGUGUCCUAUUCUUUAUAAACACUCACUAUAUUAGAAGCUAGAGGGAAUAGAAGGAAUAAGAGGUGGUAUCUUACCACAAAAAAAGCCAGAAUAUGGUGGAAGAUUUAGUUUCUUUAGUGAAAAUGAGACUCUGAUCAAAGUAUAAAGUACUAAAAUGACUGAUUCUGACGUGAAGAAUUAGGGAAGGAUCGUAUAAAAGGUGCUGACAUGAGUGGAGCUUGAAGAAACAACACAAUUUUGAAUGAGGAAAGUACAGUAGUACCCCCUUAACUGUGGGGGAUAUGUUCCAAGACCCCUCAGGGAUACCUGAAACCACAGAAUCACAGUAUUGAACCCAAUAUAUGCUGUGUUUUUCUCCUAUACAGAAAUACCUGUGAUAAAGUUUAAUUAUAAAUUAGGCACAGUAAGAGAUUAAAAACAAUAAUAAAAUAGAAGUUAUAGCAAUAUACUACAAUAAAAGCACAUGCACAUGGCAUCUCUCUCAAAAUAUCUUAUUGUACUAUACUCGCCCUUCUUGUGAUGAUGUGAUAUGACACAAUGCCUAUGUGAUAAGAUGAAGUGGGUUGACUAAUGCAGCACUGUGACACAGUGCUAGGCUACUAUUAACCUCAUGAUACAUCCAACUUAUGUUUAUUUCUGGAAUUUUCCAUUGAGUAUUUUCAGACCAUGGUGGACCAUGGGUAACUGAAACUAUGGAAAGUGAAACUUAGGAUAAGAGGGGGCUAUUAUUACACUUUGGGCAAGUUGGGGAGGCUGCACAAAGAUACAAAGUUGGUGGGUAUUUGAAGACCUGAAUAAUGGCAAAUUGACUAUUGUUUGUUUGGGAACAUUUGAGUACUAAAUAGAAUUUAAAUUUUACUUAAUCAUCAUGAAGAGGCCUGGAGAGCUUAAGAUAAAUAAGAAAGAGAAGAUAAUGAGAAAUCCAGUGUUGGAGAAACAUUUGGCUAGGUGAUGAUACAAUUAACCAAGAGAUUAUGAGAAGAAUAUAUCUAGAUACAAAAAUAGGAAGGAGAAAACACUAACUUCUGAAUUUUAAACAAGUUGAGACUGAGGUGUUUGAAGCAUCAAUAAAGAGUUGUGUAAGUGUAGUACUCAAAAGGUCAAGAUUAGAAAAAUAGAAUAAGUCACAGUUUGCUCAAGUUCGAAACAUUACUAUUACUAUUACUAUUACUAUUACCAACUAUAUACCCCCCAAAGAAAUCCACAGAAUGAGCAAGUGAGCAGAGAGAGGACAAUGACAAACUCCUGUAAAUUACUGCAGUACUCCGAUUCAUAAUAUCUACUCUGGUUGCCAAGUAGUUUUUUUUUGUUUGUUUACUUCUUAGAUCUGACCACAUUAACCUCCAGUUAAGUGAAGUUAUUAUAUGUACCAUAUAAAUAAGAUUUACCAAGCAUGGUUCUAUUCAUGGUUUAUUCAUUCAGGGGAAAAAUGAUCUUCACAGCACAGUAAAACAAGUGAGGAACAUGUACUGGCUUGUACUUCUGCCAUUUAUGUUGCAAUUUCCUUGUAUGUCAACACCAUUGUUCACAGUCCUGCAAUUUUUAAAGUGUGCUGGCCAAUAUGAUGAAAACAUUAGCAGAAUACAACCCAAUUUCCCUAUAUGCUAGUUAUCAUGGAAAACGGCUGACCAAAAGACAAAAUUCCUUCAAAAAAUUUACUUUAUGCACUUCAAGGUGACUGGUUUAAUACAUUAAAAAACCAUACACAAACACACAAAAGUUUGUAAACUCAGUAUGAAAAAGUAUCACUUUCAUAUGUAAUCCUUUUCUUAAGUUUCAUAUUAAUGAAGUUUAACUUCUUUUCUAAGGUUACUUUAUUUACCAAAAAUUAAAUACCUGAAAUGUUGUAUUACUGAAUUAUUUUUUAAACUUCAAAAUAACCAUGGGUAGAAACUGCCCUAUAAACAUAUGUACAGAUGUUCUAAGGAAAACGCAGACACCUUUAAUACACUUACUUGGUUUAAAAUCAUAAUAAUCACAGCAGGCAAAAUAGUAAAUUCAUCUAGUUAGAGUCAAUCCAGUGAAGCAAUUCAUUAAUGUAUACAUGGUAAGAGGAAUAACAAAUGCUAUUCACUGGAUUCUUUAAAUUAGCAAGCAGAUUUUAGAACUUUAUUUGAAUUCUUUAAUCUCUGCCAAAGUCUAUCUGUUUAUAUGUAGUUGUCUGGAAACACUCAGUUGGAUACUUCCAAAGAGCAAAUGGCAGGUCAAGUUUAGAACACAUGACUUCCUCACUAAUUAUAUUUAAAUAGCAUGCAGUGAGUGAGAAAUCAGAUUCCCCAUAGACGCUGGAGAAAGACUGAAUUCUUACUCUUCAAAGAAAAAUAUCAAAAGAGGAGGAUGAUGUUCAAGCUAUCACCGAUUGGCCUGCUCUUCAUGUUUGUUAACAUUCCGGGGACAAACUUCAACAUCAACAACCUCAAAUUCUAUGGCAGUAUCCAAUCCUGCGUCAAGCCUGAAUCCCGGGACCAGACCUAAUCCCAGGAAGAGCACCAAUCCCAGAAUGAACCCCAAUCCUGGGAUAAGCCCAGAUCUCAAAAUGACCUCGAGUCCCAAGAUGACUCCAAAUUCCAAGACAAGUCUGAAUAGAGCAGUGACCCCAAAGAGCCACAACUAUGAAUAUGAAUACUGUGACAAAUGGUAGCACCAAUCCUGGGACAAGCCCAAAUCUCAAAAUGACCUCAAAUCCCUAGAUGACUCCAAAUUCCAAGACAAGUCUGAAUACAGCAGUGACCCCAAAGAUAGCCACAACUAUGAAUAUGAACACUGUGACAAAUGGUAGCACCAUACUCAAUCCAAUGGACAACAUUUAUUUUCUAUGUAAUAUUUUUGCUGUUUUGUGUAUACUUGCACUCAGGCUGAAGUGAACUUCAACUGCCUGCAUUCUUAUCUCAGUUUCUUAUUAUUGCUGAAUGACAAGCAUGCUAGGAAAAUAUCAUUUAUUUCAAUUUACUAUUUAAGAAAUUAUCAUCUUGAUUUUUUUUUGCAAAUUAUAAUUGUGUACGUUUAAAUAUUAACUUAAUAUGAUGUUUUCCUUCCAUAUGAAAGAAGUAUGCACUACCUUAUUAAAUGCUGAAACAAGCAAAA